UCGUCGCUAUAGCAAUGGGGAGCCGCCACCUGUCCCGCAGGGGGACUCGCGCACCUGAGGCUUGUGGCGGGAGCGGGGAGGAGCCCGAGGCCCCGAGGGCUCCGCGCCGUCUCGUCGGCUGCCUGCGAGCUAGAAGGGCGCUUCAGGAGCCAGGGAGGACAAGAGGGUCAGGUUAUGAGGGGAGCUGUUCCCGCGGGUUCCGCUGCCUGCACUGAGGCUGCGGACCUUCUCGGGGCUCAGAGCCCCCGGGCUUCCUCCUGCGCCUUACCAACCCCGAAGUGCUUUAGUGUGCGCAGUCCGCAGGCACUGCCUAGGAUCUUCGAGCCAGCCCCCUGAAGGAAGCAAAUUGCAGUCUCUCCAGGCCACAGCUUAAGUUUCUGGCAAUGUCUGAGAAGAGAAGAUUCUCUCUCAAACUUUUGGAGGACAGGAAGUCUUUCGAAGAUGCUGGGGUGGCAAUGAAGUCGGGAAGAAUUCUGAGCUUGUCCUCUGCUCCUCUAGGACCGGAUGAACUUCCUCCACAUCUGGGCAGAAGAGGCAGUUCCCUGCUCUGCUCCCCACCAUCCAGUCUGGUUGCAGCCCGUCCCCAGCCCUUCAGAGGAUUCUGUAGGAGAAGAAGCAAGGCUUAUAUCACUGGGCACUGUGACCUGGGGGGCCAGUUCCAUUUCCCUCUGCCCUGUCCACUUCUGCAGGGACUCACAACUGGGUAGUGAUGCAGGAAGAUGACAAGAAAGGAAUAAUGAGAUGGCUCUUGUAAGUGGUAUUACAAAAGCAAUAGCAUAUGUCGUACCCUCACUGGCAGGAGUGAAAUGUCCCUGGGUUCUCUGGGCCUCCAAUAUUCUCUCAGGGCACAAUUUGCUUUCAGGCUGCACUUUCCUUCAGGAUUGCUUCUGACAUUCCAUUUCAUUCAAUUUUCCCCUGCAAAUGUCUGGGGAGAGGACUGGGCUGGGGAACCCAUAGCAUAUAUACCUCGGUUCUGAUCCUGCUUAGGGAUACCUGUGCUGGGGCUCUGUCACACUCAGGGACUUCCCCUCCCCCGCCAAGUCUCCUUCCAUGAGCCUUUGCUUUUUCUCUUGUCUCCUCAGCUUUCCCAUCUAUAAAAUGGGUCCACUGACCCUCCUUGACAGGCAGUAUAGUCUAAUGGAGAACACAUACAGGUCAGAAUUAGCCCACGGACAAAUGUCGGGCCCUACCAUUUUCCAGCCAUCUAUCUAUUUUUGUUGAGUUAUUUCACUUCUCUGAGCUUCCUCAUCUACAAAACAGGUAGGAUCACACACGACCUCAAAUGUGGGCAUGCAUCAGUGUCUAACUAUAUUGGGCUCAAGAGUAAAAGAAAUCCUGUGGUUCAAAUCUCAGCUCUGUUAACUUUCUAGCUAUGUGACUUCAGAUAAGUUAUUCAUUGUCAGCUUCAGUUUUCUCUUCUGACAAAGGAAAUAAAACCUCAAAAUGUUA